AUCACUUCUUGGCCUUUUGGCUAAGAUCAAGUGUAGUAUCUGGUUCAAGUCUAAAACUCUGUCAUUAUUUUAUAUUUAGGAUAUAAUGAAUGAUUAAGGUGUGCAUGCCAACACUUGAUAUUUAUUAUGAUUGGAGGCAUCUAGCCAAGUGGUGCAGAAAGGAUUCUACAAAUAUUUGCUCUCCU